rnacentral:rRNA from 1 species
GAUGAACGCUGGCGGCGUGCCUAAUACAUGCAAGUCGAGCGAACAGACGAGGAGCUUGCUCCUCUGACGUUAGCGGAGGACGGGUGAGUAACACGUGGAUAACCUACCUAUAAGACUGGGAUAACUUCGGGAAACCGGAGCUAAUACCGGAUAAUAUAUUGAACCGCAUGGUUCAAUAGUGAAAGACGGUUUUGCUGUCACUUAUAGAGGGAUCCGCGCCGCAUUAGCUAGUUGGGAAGGUAACGGCUUACCAAGGCAACUAUGCGUAGCCGAGCUGAGGGGGUGAUCGGCCACACUGGAACUGAGACACGGUCCAGACUCCUACGGGAGGCAGCAGUAGGGAAUCUUCCGCAAUGGGCGAAAGCCUGACGGAGCAACGCCGCGUGAGUGAUGAAGGUCUUCGGAUCGUAAAACUCUGUUAUUAGGUAAGAACAACUGUGUACGUAACUAUGCACGUCUUGACGGUACCUAAUCAGAAAGCCACGGCUAACUACGUG